rnacentral:tRNA from 1 species
GCAGGAGUAGCGAAGUGGUCAAACGCACGGGACUCAAGAUCCCGUCCCUUAGUGGGUUCAGAGGUUCGAAUCCUCUCUCCUGCA